UGGAUUAGCAGCCCUACCAACAUUUCUGAAGGCCUCACACUGUUUCAAAUAUCAUUGUCCGUUGUGUCAAACUGGGUGAAUGAAAAUCCUAAAGAUAUUCUUUUGUAUGAGUGUACACCAAAGCAACUUUGCUUUUCAGUCAGUCAUUGAGACUUUAACACUGCAAGAAGGUUGUGGCAUGCAUACUAUCACUAAAUUAAUGAAAACAUGUCUUAUAAUGCAAGCUCCAAUGUAAGCUCAGUUUAGAGAGAGAGAGAGAGAGAGAGAGAGAGAGAGAGAGAGAGAGAGAGAGAGAGAGAGAGAGAGAGAGAGAGAGAGAGAGAGAGAGAGAGAGAGAGAGAGAGAGA